AACGAACGCUGGCGGCAUGCCUAACACAUGCAAGUCGAACGAGACCUUCGGGUCUAGUGGCGCACGGGUGCGUAACGCGUGGGAACCUGCCCUUAGGUUCGGAAUAACUCCCCGAAAGGGGUGCUAAUACCGGAUAAUGUCUUCGGACCAAAGAUUUAUCGCCUUCGGAUGGGCCCGCGUUGGAUUAGCUAGUUGGUAGGGUAAAAGCCUACCAAGGCGACGAUCCAUAGCUGGUCUGAGAGGAUGGUCAGCCACACUGGGACUGAGACACGGCCCAGACUCCUACGGGAGGCAGCAGUGGGGAAUAUUGGAAAAUGGGCGAAAGCCUGAUCCAGCAAUGCCGCGUGAGUGAUGAAGGCCUUAGGGUUGUAAAGCUCUUUUACCCGGGAUGAUAAUGACAGUACCGGGAGAAUAAGCACCGGCUAACUCCGUG
rnacentral:rRNA from 1 species